ACUAGGUGUAGUUUCUGUGAUCGAGAUGAGACAAUUAAACAUCCCUUUUUUGAUUGCCUGCUGGCCAAGGUUCUUUGGCAGACGGUCCACAUUGCUUUUAAUAUUACUUCACCGAAUACUGUUAAUGCUUUAUUUGGGAAUUGGCUAAAUGGGAUUGACUCUACAAUAGCAAGACAUAUUCGGGUUGGAGUCUGUGCUUUAAUGUGGACCAUCUGGCUGUGCAGAAAUGAUUUGGUUUUUAACAGAACAUCACGAAUUCAUUUUUUGCAGGUUAUCUUCCGAGCUACGGCGUUGAUCCGUUCAUGGUCAUUACUCACUCCGAUGGAGGCCAGGGAGCAUUUGGUUACUGGGUCUAUCCGGUGGGAGAUGGUUGCUCGGGAUAUCUUCAACCAGUUUGAAUGGCGGUCAUGUAAUAGGAUAGGCAAUUAG
rnacentral:rRNA from 1 species